AACGGUAUAGUUUAAAUUUUUAAGAUGUCUGCUCUGCAAGCAGUCGGUGAGGUUUCUACCGUUA
rnacentral:tRNA from 1 species